rnacentral:lncRNA from 1 species
UAAUUUAUUUAUUUUAUUAAAGUUGGCCAAUGAUAUUUUAAUUUUAAAAUUUAAAUGUGUUCAGCUAUAUAUAAAUUCAUUAAAGUUCGAAAUUAGUUUAAGAAUUGAAGUCAAAAUAUCUUUGACGGACUUAAUUAAAUAGAUUGAAAAGAUUGGAUAGUAAAAUCAAAAUUUUCAAAGAUUUGAUAGUAAAUUUAAAAUAGUUUAUAAUUCAGGUAAAAUUUAUAUAUUUUUAUCCUGAAAAUAUUUUUAUAUUCUAACGUCUAGUCUUAGGGCCCGUUUGGAUACCUCUAAAAACGUAGCAUAAUUAAACUAUGCUACGCGGGUAGGAAAAUAAUCCUAUGAAACGUUUGGAAGAAAAAAAAUAACGUAAUUUUUAGAGUAUAGUUAUACUAUACUCCAAAAAAUGGAGUAAAUUUAUAAUUCACUUUAACCAAAGAAAAAAAAAUUCUACCAUUUUGGGCUCCCAAAGAUAUAUCAAUUUCUAAAUUUUAAAUUUCAACAUAAAAUUUUAAAUUUCAAA